rnacentral:miRNA from 1 species
AUACACACACACAUAUGCACACAUACAUACAUAUAUAUAAAUAUACAUAUAUAUGUGUGUGUGUGUGUGUGUGUGUGUGUGUGUGUGU